rnacentral:rRNA from 1 species
CGAACGCUGGCGGCGUGCCUAAUACAUGCAAGUCGAACGCUUCUUUUCUACCGAGUGCUUGCACUCAUUUGAAAAGAGGAGUGGCGGACGGGUGAGUAACACGUGGGUAACCUACCCAUCAGAGGGGGAUAACACUUGGAAACAGGUGCUAAUACCGCAUAACAGUCGACACCGCAUGGUGUUGAUUUGAAAGACGCUUUCGGGUGUCACUGAUGGAUGGACCCGCGGUGCAUUAGCUAGUUGGUGAGGUAACGGCUCACCAAGGCCAUGAUGCAUAGCCGACCUGAGAGGGUGAUCGGCCACACUGGGACUGAGACACGGCCCAGACUCCUACGGGAGGCAGCAGUAGGGAAUCUUCGGCAAUGGACGAAAGUCUGACCGAGCAACGCCGCGUGAGUGAAGAAGGUUUUCGGAUCGUAAAACUCUGUUGUUAGAGAAGAAUAAGUAGGAGAGUAACUGCUCUUACCUUGACGGUAUCUAACCAGAAAGCCACGGCUAACUACGUGCCAGCAGCCGCGGUAAUACGUAGGUGGCAAGCGUUGUCCGGAUUUAUUGGGCGUAAAGCGAGCGCAGGCGGUUUCUUAAGUCUGAUGUGAAAGCCCCCGGCUCAACCGGGGAGGGUCAUUGGAAACUGGGAGACUUGAGUGCAGAAGAGGAGAGUGGAAUUCCAUGUGUAGCGGUGAAAUGCGUAGAUAUAUGGAGGACCACCAGUGGCAAAGGCCACUCUCUGGUUUGUAACUGACCCCGAGGCUCAAAAGCGUGGGGAGCAA